rnacentral:lncRNA from 1 species
GUACUCUCUGCCCACCACCUAGGCGGCCAUUGAUGGGGGCGCGGGGUUGGCCGAAACUUGGGGAGGGGGUGCCAGCGGCUUCAAGGGUCUCUACACGCUCUCCUCCAACAAACAGCCAAAUAUCUGGAAAAGAAAAGGAUGACCCGUGGGGGAAGGGCGGGGCAAGGACAGGGCUGACCUACGCAGUGCUGCUAGCAUUUCUAAGAGGCUGGAAAACCAGGCCCCAGGCCUACGCACGCUGCGCAGCUACUGUAACCACCUCAGCAAUUAAGCACAAGCGCGACUGCCCUCCUUUAAACUUAAGGACCGAGGGAGAAGUUAAGACUUCGAGAAUAAAUGAGGUCUGGCAAUUUGGACCCAGGAACCCCAGAGGAAUAAAUUCUCACUGUGGCCUUUCAGUCUCAAGUCUCACACAACUGUCAAGGACCUCUGAAGGGAAAGGCAGUCCAGGGUCUUUGGAGGCAUAAGAGGAUGGUUGUCCAGGCAAACCAAAAUCUUGACCCAGACGGGAUGAGGCCCAAGAAAAAGUAAAUGAGAAACUAAAUCAAUAGCAAACUAUCUGUGAUAAAAGAAUGUGUAACACCUUUGGACUAUAUGAAAGAAAGGAGUCCAAAAGGAUAUCUGCAGCAUCCUAUACCCAGAACCCAUUGAUUUGGAAAGCAAUGGGGAGAGAAUAGAGAAGAAGUAACAGAAUCUCAUAAACUCUUCAACGUUUUUGGUUCAAACACCUUUUGCCUUCUAGGCCCCAGGGUAAAUUCCUUGGAACUAUGUCGCAAGACGUCCUCCCCUGCUAGCCUGUCCACUUACCAUCCAGUGAAGAGAACACCAGGAGGGUCAUGAGACAAGAUCAACAUAGAUACCCAGGGUCUGCUGUUAGGACAGGACAUCCAGCGAACCCUGGGCCGCCAAAGCGGAGCACACAAACUUAACCACUUGGCCAUGGGGCUUGCCCCAGUAUGUUACUUUUUAUAAUAAAAAUAAAGAAUACUAUCUUCAAUUUAAAAAUAAUUAAAAUCGAUGUCUGUGAUUUUAGAUGGGAGCAUAUUAUUUAUAAUCUUAACUUUACUGAAUAUGUAUUUGACACAAAGAAAAGAAUGUUAUCUGGGCAUAAAUUAUAUCCUAUUGUUCUGUUAAGAGAAUAACAAUGGAGGUAAAGAGGUCAACUUCAAAGGGACAAAAGCCCAAAUGUGAUAGCCAGCAAAGGAUCAUAAUGGGAUAUUUCAAAUGUGCAAUUUCCUACCUUCUGC